rnacentral:rRNA from 1 species
CCUGAUCCAGCCAUGCCGCGUGUGUGAAGAAGGCCUUUUGGUUGUAAAGCACUUUAAGCGAGGAGGAGGCUACCGAGAUUAAUACUCUUGGAUAGUGGACGUUACUCGCAGAAUAAGCACCGGCUAACUCUGUGCCAGCAGCCGCRGUAAU